GAUGAACGCUGGCGGCGUGCCUAAUACAUGCCAGUCGAGCGAACGGACGAGAAGCUUGCUUCUCUGAUGUUAGCGGCGGACGGGUGAGUAACACGUGGAUAACCUACCUAUAAGACUGGGAUAACUUCGGGAAACCGGAGCUAAUACCGGAUAAUAUUUUGAACCGCAUGGUUCAAAAGUGAAAGACGGUCUUGCUGUCACUUAUAGAUGGAUCCGCGCUGCAUUAGCUAGUUGGUAAGGUAACGGCAUACCAAGGCAACGAUGCAUAGCCGACCUGAGAGGGUGAUCGGCCACACUGGAACUGAGACACGGUCCAGACUCCUACGGGAGGCAGCAGUAGGGAAUCUUCCGCAAUGGGCGAAAGCCUGACGGAGCAACGCCGCGUGAGUGAUGAAGGUCUUCGGAUCGUAAAACUCUGUUAUUAGGGAAGAACAUAUGUGUAAGUAACUGUGCACAUCUUGACGGUACCUAAUCAGAAAGCCACGGCUAACUACGUG
rnacentral:rRNA from 1 species